rfam:Gorilla gorilla gorilla genomic chromosome, chr10, whole genome shotgun sequence
GCCAGGCAUGGUAGCACGUGCCUGUAGUCCCAGCUACUUGGGAGGCUGAGACAGGAGAAUCACUUGAACCCAGGAGGCGGGGGUUGCAGUGAGCCGAGAUCUCACCACUGCAUUCCAGCCUGGGUGACAGAGUGAGACUCUGUCUCAA